GACGAACCGUGCGAACGUUGUUCGGAAUCACUGGGCUUAAAGGGCGCGUAGGCGGGCGGUCAAGUCAGAGGUGAAAUCCCACGGCUCAACCGUGGAAGUGCCCCUGAUACUGAUCGCCUCGAGGGAGGUAGGGGCGUGCGGAACUUCCGGUGGAGCGGUGAAAUGCGUAGAUAUCGGGAGGAACACCUGUGGCGAAAGCGGCUCACUGGACCACAACUGACGCUGAGGCGCGAAAGCUAGGGGAGCAAACAGG
rnacentral:rRNA from 1 species